rnacentral:rRNA from 1 species
UACGGAGGGGGCUAGCGUUGUUCGGAAUUACUGGGCGUAAAGCGCGCGUAGGCGGACCUGCAAGUCGGAGGUGAAAGCCCGAGGCUUAACCUCGGAACUGCCCUCGAUACUGCGGGUCUCGAGUCCGGGAGAGGUGAGUGGAAUUCCUAGUGUAGAGGUGAAAUUCGUAGAUAUUAGGAAGGACACCAGUGGCGAAGGCGGCUCACUGGCCCGGUACUGACGCUGAGGCGCGAAAGCUAGGGGAGCAAACAGG